GCCUUUCAAGUGGUGAGGUGUGUCUGUCCAAUGUGAAGCAGUUGCCUGCUCUGCAUACUGUGACUGAGCUUUUUGGAGCAAGAUGUAGUUUCUGGAAUGGAAAGCACUAUUUUGACAAGUCAUCUGCCCCUACACAUCACGCUAAAUGGUGACCUGUAGACGGUGAUUUUGUGUGAUUAAGAACAGUUGAAAAACGGACGGAAGUCAACCUGGGUUCAAU
ensembl:lncRNA